AUUGCUGGCCCACUGAAGUUGCAGCCACCGUCCUGGUUAUCAGUGGUCAGUGAACUCAGGACAACAGGAGCUGAAACCGAGGCUGAGCCCACUUCCCGGGGGCCAGCCUGUUCCUGGCUGAGAUGACACCUGUCAGAACAUCCUGUGCUUCCCAUUCAACAGUGCACUGGGCUCUGUGCAGAACAGAAAAGAGAAAGAGAGUUCUGCGAGUGCCUCUUGCUGUAAUUACCAGCUCUGGAUGCCUCUGCCUCACUCUGGGAUGCAGGCUACAUCCAGCUUCAUGAGGGAUGGACCUCAAAACUAAAGUGGCGUGGAUUCCACUGUCUGCUACUGCUGCCUGGACCCACGCAGCCGCCCACAUGCGGCAGCAUCCUUGUCAUGCUCCUUUGGACAUCAUCAUCCUCUGUCUCUUCCUUCAUAGAACCAACCCACUCCUCCUGCCUGAGCCCUGAGCCUGGCCCAGGCUCUUUGGUCUAGCCUAACGCUCUGGAAUCCACAUGUGGCAUAUACCCACAUUCCAGCUGUUACAACUGUAAUUCAGUCCUACGACACUCCUGAGGGAUAAGACUGGACAUUCAGAACUUGCACAACCGGCUGGGGUCCUGUUGUUCCUGAGCAGAGCACAAUGCCAAGGCUGGAAGGUAGACCUGAAGCUCAAAGUCAUGACCCCAGUGCUGAAUGCCCCUCCACACCUGUCACUCACAUGGAUGUUUCUGGAAAACUGCUCAACUCUAUUGUUUUGUUAUUCUAGAGCGGUCAUUCAUAAAACACAUAGCAGUGGAGCAUCUACUAUGUGCAGGUCAUGGUGCUGAGCACUAUGUGGGAGACAAAAUUAAAUCCCAAACAGAACCUGCUCCAGUGAGCUUAGAACUGGGCAGCAGCCUUUACAGCUGAGGAGAGCUACUUCAGAGAUGAUGCACUUGUGCUUUGGGGACAACUGUGCUUUUAUUUGAUUCAUUUUCUGUAGAAAUGUAGACAAGCACUUCAAAAAUUCUCAAAAGAGGAAAUGGAUCAAGACAUUUUGAUAAAUGUUUUCUAAAAAGCAGUUCUUAGCUACCAUCAAAUAUGAUAUGCUAUCAAAUAAUAAGGAUCAG
rnacentral:lncRNA from 10 species